AUGGCAGAUUUGCCGUCUAGAGUGACAUUACCUCCACCUCCACCAUUACCCCAUCAUGCCCCGGGAUCCAAUCAACUUGCUCUAAUGUAUCAGUGGAUGGAGCAGUCUCGUCGAGACUCUCUAGAACACCAGAAUAAGUUCAUGGAGCAGAUGUUCGGUAUGAUGAGAGGCCAACUGACUAAAAACCCAGAACAAGGUGUCACGAUUGGAGACUUCCAAAAGACUAGACCACCAACCUUCUCAACCGCCACAGAUCCAUUAGCCGCAGAUGAUUGGUUGAUGGACAUAGAGCUGAAACUUAACACUGUGGGAUGCACGGAUCAAGAAAAAGUUCGGUAUGCAUCCCAUCAGUUAAUUGGUCCUGCUGCCACAUGGUGGAGAAAUGUCCAAAUUAUCAUACCCGAAAACCACAUAGUUACUUGGCAGGAAUUUAAGAGGAGAUUCCGAGACAACUAUGUCCCGCAAAGUGCGAUGGAACUAAAAAGGAAGGAAUUUCUAAGCCUUAAACAAGGGUCUAAAACCAUCGCAGAGUACCUAGAUGAGUUUAACUCACUGUCCCGCUAUGCAUCAGAAGACACAAACACUGAGACCAAAAAGGUGUACCGGUUCAUAGAAGGAUUGAAGCCAUCCAUAUAG
rnacentral:rRNA from 1 species